GAUGAAGAACGCAGCGAAAUGCGAUAAGUAAUGUGAAUUGCAGAAUUCAGUGAAUCAUCGAAUCUUUGAACGCACAUUGCGCCCGCCAGUAUUCUGGCGGGCAUGCCUGUUCGAGCGUCAUUACAACCCUCAGGCCCCCGGGCCUGGCGUUGGGGAUCGGCGGAAGCCCCCUGUGGGCACACGCCGUCCCUCAAAUACAGUGGCGGUCCCGCCGCAGCUUCCAUUGCGUAGUAGCUAACACCUCGCAACUGGAGAGCGGCGCGGCCAUGCCGUAAAACACCCAACUUCUGAAUGUUGACCUCGAAUCAGGUAGGAAUACCCGCUGAACUUAAGCAUAUCAAUAAGCGGUGGA
rnacentral:misc_RNA from 1 species